rnacentral:tRNA from 1 species
GCCUUCAUGCUGUAACUGGGUAACACAUCCGGCUGGUAAUUGGGAGGUCCAAUGUUCGAAUCUGUGUGAGGGUA